GGGAAACUGCCCGAUGGAGGGGGAUAACUACUGGAAACGGUAGCUAAUACCGCAUAACGUCGCAAGACCAAAGUGGGGGACCUUCGGGCCUCACACCAUCGGAUGUGCCCAGAUGGGAUUAGCUAGUAGGUGGGGUAAUGGCUCACCUAGGCGACGAUCCCUAGCUGGUCUGAGAGGAUGACCAGCCACACUGGAACUGAGACACGGUCCAGACUCCUACGGGAGGCAGCAGUGGGGAAUAUUGCACAAUGGGCGCAAGCCUGAUGCAGCCAUGCCGCGUGUAUGAAGAAGGCCUUCGGGUUGUAAAGUACUUUCAGCGGGGAGGAAGGCGGUGAAGUUAAUAGCUUCACCGAUUGACGUUACCCGCAGAAGAAGCACCGGCUAACUCCGUGUCAGCAGCCGCGGUAAUACGGAGGGUGCAAGCGUUAAUCGGAAUUACUGGGCGUAAAGCGCACGCAGGCGGUCUGUCAAGUCGGAUGUGAAAUCCCCGGGCUUAACCUGGGAACUGCAUUCGAAACUGGCAGGCUAGAGUCUUGUAGAGGGGGGUAGAAUUCCAGGU
rnacentral:rRNA from 1 species